CCCAGCUGUAGGCAGCCCCCUAGGUUGCCUUGUACCUAAGGAAAGUGUUACACUGCUGGAAGCACAGCCAACAGCGGCUGGCGUUCUAGACUUGAUUCAUGCCAGCUCUAUGUUAACUAUACAAGCAUGCCAGCAAA
rnacentral:snoRNA from 1 species